GACGAACGCUGGCGGCGUGCCUAAUACAUGCAAGUCGAACGCUUCUUUCCUCCCGAGUGCUCGCACUCAAUUGGAAAGAGGAGUGGCGGACGGGUGAGUAACACGUGGGUAACCUACCCAUCAGAGGGGGAUAACACUUGGAAACAGGUGCUAAUACCGCAUAACAGUUUAUGCCGCAUGGCAUAAGAGUGAAAGGCGCUUUCGGGUGUCGCUGAUGGAUGGACCCGCGGUGCAUUAGCUAGUUGGUGAGGUAACGGCUCACCAAGGCCACGAUGCAUAGCCGACCUGAGAGGGUGAUCGGCCACACUGGGACUGAGACACGGCCCAGACUCCUACGGGAGGCAGCAGUAGGGAAUCUUCGGCAAUGGACGAAAGUCUGACCGAGCAACGCCGCGUGAGUGAAGAAGGUUUUCGGAUCGUAAAACUCUGUUGUUAGUGAAGAACAAGGACGUUAGUAACUGAACGUCCCCUGACGGUAUCUAACCAGAAAGCCACGGCUAACUACGUG
rnacentral:rRNA from 1 species